rnacentral:rRNA from 1 species
AGCGAACGCUGGCGGCAGGCCUAACACAUGCAAGUCGAGCGGUAAGGCCCUUUCGGGGGUACACGAGCGGCGAACGGGUGAGUAACACGUGAGCAACCUGCCCUUCUCUUUGGAAUAAGCGUUGGAAACGACGUCUAAUGCCGAAUAUGACCCCCUGUCGCAUGGUGGGGGGUGGAAAGCUCUGGCGGAGAAGGAUGGGCUCGCGGCCUAUCAGCUUGUUGGUGUGGGUAAUGGCCCACCAAGGCGACGACGGGUAGCCGGCCUGAGAGGGUGACCGGCCACACUGGGACUGAGACACGGCUCAGACUCCUACGGGAGGCAGCAGUGGGGAAUAUUGGACAAUGGGCGAAAGCCUGAUCCAGCAACGCCGCGUGAGGGAUGACGGCCUUCGGGUUGUAAACCUCUUUCAGCAGGGACGAAGCGAGAGUGACGGUACCUGCAGAAGAAGGACCGGCCAACUACGUGCCAGCAGCCGCCGCGGUAA